rnacentral:lncRNA from 1 species
CUCCUUCCACCUCUUGUAUUCGCCGACUCGUCCGACCAAGCACGGAGCGCCUCCUGUAUUCGCCGACUCACCCAAUUUAGUUCGGAGCGCCUUCUGUAUUUGCCGACUCGCCUAACCAAGUUUGGAGCGCUUCCUGUAUUCGCUGACUCGCCCCGAGCGAGCUCGGGGCGCCCUCUCAAGUAAUACACCUCGACCUUUGAGCUCGGGGGGCUCCAUUGAGCACAUCUCGGAAACCGAGAUGCAAGGCCGACCUUAGCACCAGUCUAGCCGACCUCGCCAAAUGCCUAAUGUGAUCUCUCGACGAGCUCGGCCUCACCAAUGGCCGCACCCAUGUGCAUGCCCACACUCUCCUACGUGGUCGUACAUUACGAUGCCACUACGCCACGCUUUGCUCGCUAGCCCACGGCGGCCAAAAAACAGCGUCAUGCUACUCCAGCCAUACCCUGCUACGGCUGUCAAUGUCUUACCGUUCCCAGGAACGAACUCCACCACGCGCCACAAGCAAACUCUGGCUGCGCGCCGCACCACUCCCACUCAUGAUGGGAAUGGGCCAUACC